ensembl:lncRNA
AUGCCUUUGAGUAAUCUCCAGAAAGAAGAAGGUAGCUGCUCCCCUACUCUCCACUGGCAUUUUGGGAAAGCUUCAGCAACUAAAAGGGGCGGAAGAAACAGAGAACGUCUCUGGCUGAGGCUGACAUGGACGGGAUUGUCAGCCAUAAUAGGAAGGUGGGCGCUGAUCAGCAAGCUUUGCUCAAGUUGUCAAGAGCUAAUCAAGACCCUUGGGGAAACAGCACCGUUCAGGUCUAUGUUGGUGACAAGGAAAGAGAUGAUGGAAAAGGGGAAUGGGCAAGAGAGAAAAAACUGGAGAACGUAUAAAGAUUAGUAGGAUUACAGAAAGCUAACUUUGGUAUAUGCUUGUGGACCAUUGCAGUGACUUCUUCCAAGAAAGAGAUGUGGCGCUUUUGAUGGAUGGAAGAUGUGAAUGUGUUUUCAAGUUACCCAAGGACUUGUGGCAGCUCCAUGAAUUUCAUAGGGUUUUCUUAGGCAAGGAAUCCUCAGGGGCGGUUUGGCCAUUUCUUUCCUCUGAAAUAUAUCACUCCGUGAAAAUGUCAAACUGAGGUGCAGUUGCUGUGAAAACAACAACUAAUUCCAUGUGGGUUAUUGUUAGGAAAGGAAUAAAACACCAAAAUAUCAAUGCCACAAUGUUUUUCCAGUGAUCUAUAAUAUGACAAAACCACACCUGAAGUACUGAAUCACCAAACAUCAGAAAGGCUAUAUGGUAGAGCAGAAGUGAAUACAAAAAUAAUUAAAGAGCAACUCCCCCAUCGGGAUCUUUACACCAAUCUGGAAUACCUUGCACUAAACUUUUUGUGGUCUUAUACCUUCAGUCUGAUAUGAAGAUAGUAGUGCAACUGUGAACCAGACCAGAAACAGACAACAUUUAAGUUUGGAUGUGGGAGGGGAAUAGAAAUUAUAUGUGUGUACAUAUAUAUGGAGAGCCAGCAUGGUAGCGGUUUGAGAGUUGGAGAAUGCCUCUGGGGAACAGGAUUCAAAUUUCUGCACAGCCAUGAAACCCACUAAGUGACCUUGGAGAAGUUACACCCUCUCAGCCUCAGAGGAAAGCAAUGGUAAAACUUCUUCUGAACAAAUUUUGCCCCCAUCCCCACCCCCCUUGAGAUCAGCAUCGGUUGGAAAUGACUUUAAGGUACAUGACAACAUCAUAUCUGUGCCUUCAAGUCUCCUGUCAAUUUAUGACAGGGCAGGGAACUAGGGAACCACAUUAGCAUCUUUGGUGGGUCACACUGGCCAAAAAGUUUGUCUCCUGAUCCUGAGAGGCCUUUGUUUACAGUGGAGAGUGAGCAGAAGUUAAUUCAGGUUCACUUUCUGUUUCAGGAAAAGUCUUCUAGUGGGUCUAAUUUGGUGAUUCCCAAUUUGUGGUCUGUGGACCACCAGUGGUCCAAAUAUGGUCCGCAGCCUCACUGUUACUACACUGUUGCAAUGAGAGUGACUGGUCUCUUAUAGUGUCGAGGCAACGGGGAUGUUGGGAGGGGAGAGGCUGACUACCCACGAAAGGCAUGACAACAAGCCUCCUGACUGCUGCUUCUCCUCCUCCUUCCUCCCCCUGAGUGGAGCCGUUCCAUGUGGUGCCUGGAAGUGAGGCGCCUUGGUGUAUUUGUUUUUAGGCCUUUUCCUGGGAUUAUUUAGGGUGCUGAUUCAAAAAAUUGCAUUGGAUAGACCACAUCAGCUCUAGAUUAUUAAAUAUGGUUUUCUUUUGGCAAGCAGAUGGAGACUACUGGAUGGCAUAUGUUCUGUAUCAGAAACUACAGCGGAUGUAGUCUAUCCAAUGCAAUUUUCUGAAUAAACACCCCAAAUAACCAAACCGAAUCUAAAGUUGACCAAUUCGUAACCCUUUUGGUACUAAUGUUGGAGAGUAGCCCUUGGUCAAAGUGGUCCCUGGUCAAAAAAAGGUUGGGAACCUCUGGUCUAAAUUGUGACUACUAAUGGCUAUUAGCCAUGAUGUUAUAUAAUACACUUUUAUUUUACUAUAAAGUAGUUAUAGUAAGCAUAUGGACCUUGAUAGCAAACAUUGUGCGUGAGGAACAACACUCAGACUAGAAGAAGCUGCAGCAGUCUAUUCUUGCCUGAGUCUACUGGGAAGGGCAAGAUUUUGAUGGCGCAUUCUCUCUCCCAUCCUGAGUUAAUUCAGUACAAACUGCUUUUGCACUUUGAACUCUGUUUGCAGCACGUGAAAUAAACUAUAGUCAAAAGGGGUAAGUAGAAGAGACUAAAACUGGGACAUUUUAAAAGCAACUGAAAAUUGGGACAUCAGAAUAUUAACCAGGACUGUCCUUGCUAAAUCAGGACAGUGGAAGGGUAUGACACAGCCCCGUCUGACACUAAAGUACACAAAAAUCUAUAAUACGUUGUCCUAUUACUAACUAAUAUACAGAAUAGAACAAUGGUAACAGACAAGGUUGUACUCAGUCACUGAACAUACUUAUCUGUUACUGAAAAAACAUACAAGCAUGAAUAUAAUGUUUGAUGUAAUGUUGUAAACAGUUUUCAUUUGUGCAUUACUCAUGCGCCUGUAAGGAUUAUAAUGGUUAUUUCUCCAAAUCUAGUGGGCCAUGUUUGGAAAUCAUCUUCCUGAUUUUGCUGAAUUUGGUUAAAAACUGUCCCAUCAUCCCACACCAUUUUUUUUUUCAUUCUCCAGCAGCUCAAACCACUCCAUACUACGCCCCCCUUUUUUAGUAUUCAAGAAGUAUCAAAUGCAAAUAAUGGAUAUGUCUGGGAAAUUGGUUGUCACUGAAAACCACUGGUGCCACUUUGAUAAUGAUGCCACCUAGUAAUGAUGAUGUUGCCUAAAUAGCAUAUAUUUAUAAUGUACAUAUAGAUGCUGCUGGUGCUGCUAUUACUGUUAUCUCUCUAUGCAGGACUUUCUGAGUGUUUAAACUGCUUCACAUACAUUAUCUUUUUAAUGCACUGUGAGCUACUGCAAAAGGCUUUCGGACCAGAUAACUGGACUAGUUAAAUGCGAGUGGGGACAUUCACAGCAAGACUGAGAGCACAAUCAUUUGCUUGCAUAAGGCCACCAAAUGAGUUGAUGGAUGUGGAGAGGUUUGAACCAGGGACCUUCUGGCUGUUACUUGUGGCUUGUAAAGUAUAACAUUAAUUUAGGGCAGAAGCCAGUUCCAAAUUAAAUUUAACGUGACCCACAGCUUGAUGCUCUUUUAGGAAGUGAAACUGGAGCUCAAUUCUGCUUGUGAGCCACACCAUCUUACACCUGGCCCUUAAUCCCAGAUUUAUAUAAAUAUGGGCUUUGAUGAGUCAGUGAGGAGAGAAAGACACCUCUUGACAAUGAGGCAUGAUUACAGGCAGGCUGCUUUAUAUGUGCAUGUUCAUCACUUCAUAUUGGUGGCUGCACGUACUUUAAGAAAAGCUCAAGUGAUCUGAAGGAGACUUACUACCUCAUCAGACGGGCUCCUUGGCCCAUUGUACCCUACUUGUUCUCCCCUUUCAGGAUGGAGCCCAUUGAAAUGACACACAUGUACUUCCGGCCAAAGUAUGGGCAGUCUUUCCAUGUUGCCUUACCAGCAAUAGGGAAAAAACAGUCAGUGACACUUCCCCCCAUGGGAUGGGUGCCAAGGCAAGUUGCGUGAUGCAGGGCAUGGAACAAUGGGUUCUCCACAUGCCCCACCAGGAGCCCAUGGUUUUGCCAUGAUGUGUGGCAAAUCCAUGGGUCUUUUUGAUGAGGUCCUUACUUCUAAACACCACCAAGUGAUCACUUAACAUAUAUAGAAACUAAUAACCCUUGUUGAAUCAGUCAUCCCUUGUGAAAAUAGAGCAGGGCUGAUGCAUUUGAAUUCCUCAACAGCUUAAUUGCUAAGGUUCCGAUAUCAGUGGAAUGGUUUUAACCUGAACUUUGAAGAGUCUCUCCAAGUUUCUUGACCUAUUUUGGAGACAGAGUUCAACUGUUUGGAUAACUCCUUUUGAGUUUGAACUAAAACUUGAAGUAAUUUUAUGUGCCACUUAAUGUCAGAGUCUCCAAUGACCACUGGAUAUGGAUGAAGAAGUAAUGGCUCUCUACAAAGUCGGACUAAAUCAGUGGUUCUCAUCCUGAAGGCCAAAACACCUGGGGACCCACAGGUGUUUUGGCCUUCAACUCCCAGAAAUCCUAACAGCUGGUAAAUUGGCUGGAAAUUCUGGGAGUUGUAGGCUGAAACAACUGGGGAUCCAUGGGUUGAGAACCACUGGACUAAAUUCUCACUAUUCUUGGACUCGAUAUACCCAUUGCAUUAGAAGGUUGCAUCAGAAGGCUAAUUUACACAAAGAAGAGGUAAGAUGGUGACACAAUUCCUGAUUUGUACUUUUUCAGGUGGGUUGAGAGCAUAUGACAUUUUUGCACAUUCUCAAGAAAUCUGGUAAGUUUUCUUCCUGACACGAUAGAUUUUUGUAUGCAAGGGCUCUACUUGAUCAGGGGCACAUGAGAAGGCAUAUGGAUGUGAAUAUUCAUUCUACUAGAAGUCUGACAAUGUGCAUUCAAGGAAAUGGUUUUCUCAUCAUGUAUACAUUGCUCUUCAGCUGCCAAGUGCUACAACUGGGACAGGUAAUGAACACAUGUCUUAAUUAGCCCUUAAUAAUUAAACCUUGGAGGGGCUGGGGAGCACCCAGAUCUGAUCUAAGCUAUCUAAAUCACUAGACAAGUUUCCAUCAUCUCUGUUCCUCUGGGCAUCAUGAGCCAAUUUGUUUGCUUGCUCUGCAGUUAGUUUGCUUGCACUUCUCUUAAGGCGAGGAGUGAAUUUGUAGUGCUGUAAUCUGUUUCAGCUUGUCAAACAGAUUAGUGCAGUUUGUCUGGAUAAUUCCCCUCUAACAGCUAAAUGGCCCCCAUUUUCAGGGAGGAAGCUUAAAAGAAAUUUAUGUUAUGAUUGAGCCUCGUGGCUCUGUUUCUGACAGGCGUGGGCGUACUCUUGCACUUUCCUUUGU